rnacentral:lncRNA from 1 species
AAAGAAAAUGCACCAGAAGGUCCUACUCAGAAAGGUCUUCGUGAAGCCAGGGAACAAAACAAAUGUAAAACAAAGAUGAAAGGCAAUACAAAGGUCCUCCAGAAAGUUAAAUAGAAGUGGUUAAAUAGUGGUGGUUAUACUAUUUGUGAUUUUAAAGGUGAUGCAUCUGAUGUUUCAACACAAGGAAUGAUAUUUAUUGUCUUUGGUGGUUAUUCUUUAUCAAGUUGAAAAAAUUUGUUUUCCUUUGAUAUUUAAAGUUUGUGUUUUACCAUGAGUAUAUUAAUUUUUUUGACCAUAAGUGAUUGGUAAUUUUAUCAUGUUUAAGUUUUAAGAUUUUAUUUUAUCAUGAAUAAGUAUUGUAUUUUCUGCUUCUGAGACUGUUUU